GCAUUAAUCAAACAGCCAAGCUCUCCAAGGCCGAGGCCAUUUGUUUUCUGGAUAAGGUGGGAAAGGGAUAGCAGCGCGACUAUAUUGUCUAGAUAUCAAUCGUGCCGAUAAAGUCCCGAUUGUACACAAAGGGGUCGGGAAAUGACGAUUCACAGACACGAUCAUUUCGUCCGUGAUUCUCCAAGGAGUUGGAAGUACGCGUUUGUUGUUAGUGUUUCGUUUGUUACAAUUACUGUAGCCAAGUAAAGUGUGCGUGUAAUUUGUGUGCGGUUGUGACCAAAAAAGCUAGAUCAAAAGAUUGGCUUUAAUUUCCCAUCCGCAGCGAAUUCCGCGCACCCAAGCGCGCACUUCAUCCCCUACGGACGGAAUUUUCCUGGCAUUCGCCAACCGGCCAGAAGCGGACGAUCCGUCAUCAUAUCGGUCCGAGGAGGCCGGGGACCUCUAAGUGGACGGAGUCCACCAGCCGGUCGUCAAGCUACCGGCCAUAGCGAUUCAUCGACACGCUUCAUUGACCUCGCCCAACGGUCAUCGACAGUAAGUCUUAUCGAACGGUGAGUCAAGCCUUUUUUGUACGGAAUGCGGCGUCCAAGGAGGGCGAAGCGGAGGAAUUUGUUGUCCAGUCGUAGACUGAAGGAUGUGUCGCUAAAGCCAUCACGCCGUUUUUUCUUUGUCGCGAAUUGAAAACCCAUCGACAAUAAUUGAGUCCGCCAUCACGGCCCCGUGAACACGCGUGCGUGAGCCUUUUUUUGCCACCACCGAAAGUUACGUUGCGUAACGGGAGCGCAGUCCCGCCAAGAGCGGGAAUAUGUAGUGGUGACGUCAUCGACCAGUAUUAGCCACUUCGACUGUCAUCGCAAUACGAGCUGUUACCCGGAGCGCAGAUCGUUAAGGAGAUGCGCUUCAAUAAAUCGUGACGUCACGUUAGAAGUUUAGAGCACAGAGCACGAACGAUUAUAGAUAGGAGAUAGGAAAAAACCGCACACAGCUAGGGAAAGAGAGACAAACGAACACCAA